GACGAACGCUGGCGGCGUGCUUAACACAUGCAAGUCGAACGGAAAGGCCCUGCUUGCAGGGUACUCGAGUGGCGAACGGGUGAGUAACACGUGGGUGAUCUGCCCUGCACUUCGGGAUAAGCCUGGGAAACUGGGUCUAAUACCGGAUAGGAGCCAUUUUUAGUGUGAUGGUUGGAAAGUUUUUUCGGUGUAGGAUGAGCUCGCGGCCUAUCAGCUUGUUGGUGGGGUAAUGGCCUACCAAGGCGGCGACGGGUAGCCGGCCUGAGAGGGUGGACGGCCACGUUGGGACUGAGAUACGGCCCAGACUCCUACGGGAGGCAGCAGUGGGGAAUAUUGCACAAUGGGCGCAAGCCUGAUGCAGCGACGCCGCGUGGGGGAUGACGGCCUUCGGGUUGUAAACUCCUUUCGCUAGGGACGAAGCUUUUUGUGACGGUACCUAGAUAAGAAGCACCGGCUAACUACGUG
rnacentral:rRNA from 1 species